rnacentral:rRNA from 1 species
AUUGAACGCUGGCGGCAGGCUUAACACAUGCAAGUCGAGCGGGGUGAUGGUGCUUGCACUAUCACUUAGCGGCGGACGGGUGAGUAAUGCUUAGGAAUCUGCCUAUUAGUGGGGGACAACAUCUCGAAAGGGAUGCUAAUACCGCAUACGUCCUACGGGAGAAAGCAGGGGAUCACUUGUGACCUUGCGCUAAUAGAUGAGCCUAAGUCGGAUUAGCUAGUUGGUGGGGUAAAGGCCUACCAAGGCGACGAUCUGUAGCGGGUCUGAGAGGAUGAUCCGCCAAACUGGAACUGAGAACCGGCCCAGACUCCUACGGGAGGCAGCAGUGGGGAAUAUUGGACAAUGGGGGGAACCCUGAUCCAGCCAUGCCGCGUGUGUGAAGAAGGCCUUAUGGUUGUAAAGCACUUUAAGCGAGGAGGAGGCUCUUUUGGUUAAUACCCAAGAUGAGUGGACGUUACUCGCAGAAUAAGCACCGGCUAACUCUGUGCCAGCCGCCGCGGUAA